ACAUGGAAAGCUUUAAAAAGAAUGAGUAGUACUGUGUGCAGCAAAACUAAUGAUGUCUGGUUUCCCUCCUGUCUCUUGAUGUCUAAGAAAAGGUGAUCUCAUUAGCCUCUUUCACAACAAAUAAUAAUAGGGUGUCUCUUCUCCAUCCACUUGCCAGUUCUCAUAAAAUUAUAAAAACUGCUUAUCUUUAGGGUCUUUACCGCUCUAAAAUGAUGUUCAAGAAUUACUGUGAGUUGGACAGACAGACUGACAUGGGAGACGAUUGCAUUCACUCAUUUUUGGAAAUUUACUCAAUUACCUAGAAAACCAGGCUACAAAUUGCCAUCUCUCCUUAUUUUGAUAUGUUAAUUCUGAGAAUUCCUAGCCAGCUUACUGUAGAAGAGAGAGAUCUGGACACACUCUUUUCCAGUCUCUUUAUUGUGGACUUCCACAUUUUUCUCCCCGUAGGUGAAACUCUGGUUACAUCAGGCGGUUACAAGGAAUAGCACAAAGGUUGCUCUUGCCUGCUUGCCAUGCCCCUGAACUACAACAAAGAAUUACAAUUGAGAAGUGGGAAUCCUUCUGCGGCUUUUUCACAGCUGCUAACAUAAACAAAAAUUGCAGCUUCUAGCCAGAGGUACGUGUAGAUCAGCAGCUGUUCUUGACCAGUCGCCCUUUAGUGGCACAUCCCCUGCUUAGACCCUUGUCCAUGUCAGCUUAAACACUUUGUAGCUUGCGGGGAUCUCAAGAAAAAAUUCUGUAACAGACUUGUGUGUGUAUGUGCAGGUCUAAUGCCGUGAGGGUUUAAGAGAACGUUAUCAUAAAAACCAAGCACAGUAUAGGUUGUUCAUUAUCACAAUGAUACUAACAAGAUGAGAGUAGUUAUUUGGAGGAAACAAAGCCCUGUAACUUGUAAAGGUCCUGGUAAUUUUUGUGACGUUGCCACAGUCCAUCCCUUUGAGCUUGGGCAUAGCCUGCAAAACGCCCAUUAAGAGCUGGUGUGGAAGUGAACUGUUGCAUGAUGAUUCUGUAACAUGCUUAAACGUUAGUAAAAAACAUACCUAUGGGAACCUGUUACUUGAUGCAACUUACAUAUUGGGGAUUUGCCUGGCUGCAGGUAGCAGCUCCAGGUGAGUGCAAAAAAGGUCACAGAAGAGGAGGUUACAAACAAGAGGUCAAAGGGCUGAACAGAAACCUGUAAGACACCUACAUCAACCAAUGCAGAGAUUUUACUGGCUAAUACACUGUAAUGCUGAGCCUUGCUUACAUAAGAAAGUAUAUAUGGGAUGAUCUACCUGCAAAAGCAUCUUAAAUUGGCUGGUCAAUGGCUGCUCUGUGCAGAGACACAUAUUAUACCAUACUGAUAACUGAUACUAGACCUGAGCGAAAGAGUCAUCUGUCAGACGGCCUUGGCUCCAAAUGCUUCCUGAGCAAUUCAGAAGACGAGGGAAAUGGUUCCAAAUCUUCAUUCCCCAUAGUGACGUCUUCCACUCCCGUGGCAAAGCAGAUGGAGGUACCAGCUACAUCACGUGCUGAGGAGCGAGCCUGUUCCCUCGGUGCAGUCUGUGCAAGUCUCAUCAGAUGCCGUUCUUCUGGAGGUCAGGAGAUGGAAAAUGACAGAGAAGCAGAAACUUCCCGUUGACUGGAACUUCCUCAGUGAAUUAGCAUGGAGAACAACCAAUUUAAAUAAGAUGCCAUAGAUAUGUAAGCUACUAAAGGAUAAACUGACCUUAGAGGAAUCAAACAGAGAUCAAUAACUGAGACAAGAAUUGGCUCUUAUUCUCCUGUUUGAAUAUAUUCCUGUUGGUUACCUGCUCCUUGCCUACUCAUAUGGUAAGUGUAGUCUUUUGGAAAAAUUAAGGAAUUGUAUCCAAUAAUCCAUUACAGUCUCUGCACCUCACACUGCAUUAGAAGAAAAGUCAAUAAUGUAAUGAUGAGACCUAUUUAACCUUUGAUAAUAUUUCUUCAUUGGAGCAGUAUCUUCCAAACUUGGUUAGGACCGUUACAAGAGGGAGUUUUCCAAGGCCUGCUGGGACUUCUUGUCUUGAGAAUACUUUGAUGUCUGAUACCGGAAUUACACAAAUGUCCAACAUAAUUUCUCUGAGCCCAUAUAGUAUUUUACCUGACCUUCACAGCUGUCUUGCUUUGAAUGAAUAUUGUCCUGAAUUGGUUUGGGGUUUGUUUCUUUUCUUUCUUUUUUUUUUUUUUUUUUUUUCCUGGCAAUACUGCAGCAGUUGCCCCAUGUUAGUUUUAAAUGUAAGAUAUAGUCUGUUCAGUUCAACAUUGAAUACUACUGUAUGUUUUUUCCUGCACAUUUUGUCCCUUGGAAUGUGAAAUCAUCAUGUGAUGUACACUGAUGACAGCAAUGUUAUCUCCAGAUUCUCUGGGCAGCCUCUAUGUUGUUAGGAAAGUACCUAUUUUAUGAUACUUCCAUCAGUCCUCCUCUCUGCUGUCCAUAGUUUCCAGCUGUUGCUUGUUAUCAUGCUCCUUCCUCUACAACUCUACUGUUCUCUCUUGUGAAGAGAUAUUGUUCUCCCUGUCCCUACUUGUGCACUAUUUUUGUAUUAUGAGACUGCUGCUGUUGCUAUUUCAGUUCUGUUUGGCUCAUCUUCUGUGUAUUGAGGCCACCUGAUACAGGACUUCUGCUUUGGGAAUGUUAUGAAGCUUGCUGCACAUGUAUGGAUGAAAAUCAUAAAUACAAGGAUGUCCUUUACAUGUUGUGCGAAUACUUCAUUUUGUCAGAUUCUGCAUGUGAGCAUGAUGAAGAAGGGAGAAGGGAAGAAGUAACAGCUGUUGACCAACUUUGCCAUUCAUGAGGGUUGAAUGAGAAGUAGGAGUAUGGAGUCAGGGUUGAGUGACUGUCAGGAGCACUGGCACAAAAGAGUGGAGGGAGUACAAUCUGGUUCAGACCUUUGCGGUGAGAGAUUGGUACUACGUAGUCUUAUUCUGAGUGACUCCUGUGGGUGCACUACUCCCCCAGCAAUCAACGUUUGCAUGCACUCUUAUGACUCAAGCCCCCGCAAAAUAUUCACAGGAAAUUUAUGUAUAUACAUAUAAAUAAACAAAUGUGCUCUUGAAUGUACCCUACAGAAAGAUGGAAGACUUUAAGGGUGUCAUAGUCUGUGUCUUAAUUAGAUAUUCUCUUCUGAAUUUCAUCUAAAGAUGCAAAAGCAGGUCCCAGAGCAUGUCCUAUUCAUGCUGCAGUUCCUUGACUCAUGUUUUCGAAAAGCCUCUAAUACCACUUGAUUUGUCAGUUGAUAUACAUAUGACUGAGGAUUUAGUUUGAGGCUCUGAGAACCUGCACAUUAGCACAUGUCCAAAACUGCCUUUAUACACAUAAGGAUUUUUUUUUAUCAUUUCAUAACUUUUUAAAAUUAACAAAUAUAUACAUAACUGUAGAGAUAUUUUGUGAAAUGACACGGGAAAGCAGUUACAACAAAAAGGAUAAAAAAUCCACACACUUAGGCUGCCUUAUUUAGUUUGUCAAAAACACUUGAACUGUUGAGUGAAUCUAAUGGAAUUCAAUGAAUCUGCAAGUACAUUUUCAGUCCAUUGAAAAUGACUGUUAAUUCAAGGUUACUUCAUAAAACUGAAUCAUGAGCAAAGAUUAUUUGGUGAAGAUGAAAAAGGCAAAGAAAUAAAACAAACAAGCAAAUGGGUAUUAACAACUUAGAAAUUAGAACAAAGGAAAAAUGUUAACAGAGGUUUGUGCCAAUAAAAAGUAUUUUUUUUCUUACAGGGUCUUUCUUUGACUGUCAUUGGCCUAUCUAUCUGUUCACUAUGUAGAAAAAUUAUCUAUUGACUUCAAUAGCAGUAUUUCAAUUCAUGCAGGCAACCAUUUCCACUUGAAAAAAUCAUAAAUAUAAUUCAUGAGUGUUUUCUUAGACAAAUGGAAUUGCAAAGCUAUUCCUUUCUCCAUAUAUUUUUCACCCAAAUUCCAUUUUAAAGUAUUAUUUUGAGGUAGCAUUAAAAUAUGAAUAAAUUUAGUAACUCAUAAGCUUUUGUGGUUAUAUUUUCUUUUACAUAUAUUCUUAUGAAAGAAACAUUUGUCUUGUUAAUUUUUCUUCAUUUCUUGCCUUCAAUUGGCAUGGGAAGCACGAGAUGCUUAUAAGAUUACAAUUAUCUACUCAGUAAGAAAGGUUAUUUAUCAAGUAUAGAAUUACUGAAAACAUAAAGGAAUUAGUCUCUUUCUCCCCUUUGUUUUCUGUGCCUGUUGUUUCUGUUCCAAUUCUCUAGCUAGAACUGAGUUGCUGUCUAGACAACUGUAAUUCCAUCUUUCUUUUACACAGGUAGUAAGAUUAACUAUUGAUUUGGCCUACCCACAAAACUCCAAAAUAUAAAUGCAAACUGUGUUUGCCAAAAGGAAAUGGUGCCUGAUUAAGCUCAUAUCUUUUAAUGUUAAACUAGAUAAUUUUCAAGAUAAAGCAAAUAGAGUAAGUUUAUUGUAAGUUUACAUACUCUACUUACUGUAUAGCAAGUCUAUUACAUGGCAAUUCUACUGGAAUUUAUAUGCUUACACUUCAGUAAGUCAUCUGAAAUGGUAUCACUUGGAAACCUUUUAGUUUAGCAGCAGAAUGUAAAUAGUAAUGGAGGAAUGGUAAAGUGAUCACAUACUGGCUAAAGAGUGCACACAAAGAGAGCAAGCUAGAGGGAGACUGCCGGUGGAAGUUUCUGGUACUGGUCAUAGGAAAAAUGUCAGUUAA